GUGACAAAAUUUCAAAUCGCCCCUGCAGUGAGAAAAAUUGCCUCUUAAAUCUGAAUUACAGAAGCUCCAAAGUAAACAUUUUGAGGUUGAAAAACAAGCCGAAAAAAGCAGGUCAUAUAAUGCCAUGACUCAUAAAACGUGAAACCAAAUAAAAGCAGCUUUCAUUUAAGGAUGUAUGAUUUUGACUAAAGAAAAAUUAUUGUAUGAGCCCACAAUACCAUGUCAUGAAGCUGAGUUGGAUCUCCCAACCAAUAAUAACAUAGCACAUCAAAAAAUAACUGUCAAGCCAUGUUCUGCUGCCUAAAUUUUAAAAUUUAAAGGAAUUUUUGAACUUAUAAGGGCAUUAGACAUAGAAUUAAAUUUAUUAAGCUUUCGUUUUUUUAAAUAAAAUUGUUGACAUGUUCUAUUAUUAUUGGUUGGGAGCACCAACUCAACCUUGUGAUAUGGUAUUCUAAAAGCACGCAAUAAUUUCCCAUAAAUAAAAUAUGGAACUUAAUAAUUAACAUUUUGCCCCUGCUUCAACAUUUAAGCAACCCUCAGAAACUAUACUUUUGUGUCGUUCUAUGGACACCACAUCCAGCCCUGCGCCAAGAAUAAAUCCAUGUUUACACCUUGUCUGAAAGUCAUAUCCGGCUCUAGCUUUUCAUUGUGGUAUCUUCACUGAGAUGUAGAAACUGACACCAUAAAGUCAAAAGCUGAAUUCAAUAUUGACCCGUGGAAAAAGGACAAGCCUUGUUCAUAUUUUGUUUGUUUUUCCUAGAAAAAAAAGAGUUACAAAGAAAUAUGCAAGUCCUGCAACUAAUCUUCCAGCAAUUAAAAGAAUUAAUUAUCUGUUACGAGUGCAUCUUAGCAGCUGCCCAUGCAUUUGUCUAGUUGUGGUCAACCAGGGGGUAAAAGAAGAAAAGCAGUUCCACAAUAGUUUCCAGGUAAUUAUAACAGUGGGUGAUUCCAUGUAUUGGGUUGCAACUGUAGAUGAACGGGAAAGCUUUAUUUCUAUAGAUGUAAAUCCAUCGCCGCAUCUUAAUAAGCUGAAGGAAAAUUAUUCGCUCUACAAAAAUGCUUCUUCAAUGGCCGAUAAAUGAGACUUGAGUUUCUCUUGCAGAACAAACCCAUUCAACAUUCAUGGAUUCAGAUGUAGAUUCCCAACCAUUUUACAAUUUCACAAGCCAAAAUUUGGAGAUGUCAGAGUUACAGCUUUCACCUUUCUCUAAAGGCACCAAUGAAAUUCAUCGGUUGCCACACUCUGUGUGUGUGUGCACACUUGCUGAUGUAGAAUAAAGACGAACAAGAAACAAAUCCUUAGGGAAAGAGAACUAAUUCUCAAUAAUUAUAGUCAAAGCUACUGAAUAAUAGAAAAUUAGCUCUAUUUAUAGAGCUUACAACCCUAAUCAAAUUAGGAAUAGAAAUCCUAAUUCAACUCUAAUUAGAAAUACUAAAUAAGAUAAACUCAGAAACAUUAGACCUAAUAAUAAUAAAAUUCUAAACAAUAAAAAUUCUUUAAAUUUUCUAAUUCUAUAA
rnacentral:misc_RNA from 1 species